GUAGGUGGCAAGCGUUGUCCGGGAAUUAUUGGGGCGUAAAGCGCGCGCAGGCGGUUCUUUAAGUCUGAUGUGAAAGCCCACGGGCUCAACUGUGGAGGGUCAUUGGAAACUGGAGAACUUGAGUACAGAAGAGGAAAGCGGAAUUCCACGUGUAGCGGUGAAAUGCGUAGAGAUGUGGAGGAACACCAGUGGCGAAGGCGGCUUUCUGGUCUGUAACUGACGCUGAGGCGCGAAAGCGUGGGGAGCAAACAGGAUUAGAUACCCUGGUAGUCCACGCCGUAAACGAUGAGUGCUAAGUGUUAGGGGGUUUCCGCCCCUUAGUGCUGCAGCUAACGCAUUAAGCACUCCGCCUGGGGAGUACGGCCGCAAAGGCUG
rnacentral:rRNA from 1 species